rnacentral:lncRNA from 1 species
GUUACCUCGAACAGGAGCUGUUCGUCGCGGCGCAGGACGAGUUCUCUUCGAUAGUCUCCUCUUAUUCUCUUCGGUAUAAAAGGCUACGUGUCGCCGCAUGCACGCAUGCUGAUAAACAGCGCUGUCACACACGCGUCGAUGGAAACACGUGUGUCUAGGAUCAUUGGGGAUUCGAUUUGUUUUAUUUUAUUGAUAUUGUGUGUUAUCAAUCUAUGACUAUUUGGACACGUGAAUUGAAUAAUUAUUUUGAAUAAAUAAACUUUUUACGGUAUAUGUUAAUUACAUCGA